ACUGUAUAUAUAUAAAAAAGGUCAUUACAUUUUGGGCACAAUACAUGAAAUACAGCUGGUUGUAGCCUAUUUUUUUACUUAUUUGAUUA